rnacentral:lncRNA from 1 species
GCGGGCGUCGUCGUCUCGGCCCUGCAGCCGCGCCAGGAGUCCGCGCUGCACAAAGCUCUGGCGGGCGGCGCGGCCCCGGCCGCCGCUCAGCUCCACCGCGCGUUCCAGAUCCUCCAGGGCGCCUGCGGGACCGACGAGACGGGCGGGGCGGGGGUCAGCGGAGGCCAGGGCGGCCUUGCCCGAGCCCCAGCCCACCUGCGGCCGCGCGGAUCACCGUGGUUCUUGCGGCUCCCGGGCGUGGCCAUUUACAACCCGCCUCGCACCUGCUAGAGAAAAGACCCCGGCCAUGGAUGGGAGACCUAGGACAAAGAUGGAAAAGAGUGCUUGGCACCAGACAGCUGCUCAAUGAGGAACACAACUGCAUCAUGGAGAAUCCCCAGCAUCCUCAAACCGUUAACACCUAGAAGAAUCAGAAGCACCAGGGAAGUGAGGAGCGCAGUCAACAGGAAACAGCAUGGUCCUACAGAAAUGCCUAUGCUAUAGUCACUCUGCCAGAGGCUGCUCCAGGGUGAAUUAUAGUACAUAUUAGCUCGAAAUUAGCAUCAGAUAGCCAUUAAAAUGAUGCUGAUACAGAUCUAUCAAUAUGGAAAAUGUUUGUGAUAGACGGCUAAGUGAAAAAAGCAUGCCACCAAA